UACGGAGGUGGCAAGCGUUGUUCGGAAUUACUGGGCGUAAAGGGCGCGUAGGCGGCUAGGCAAGUCAGAUGUGAAAGCCCCGGGCUUAACUCGGGAAUUGCAUCUGAAACUGCUGGGCUUGAGUUCUGGAGGGGGUAGUGGAAUUCCCAGUGUAGCGGUGAAAUGCGUAGAUAUUGGGAGGAACACCUGCGGCGAAGGCGGCUACCUGGACAGAAACUGACGCUGAGGCGCGAAAGCCAGGGGAGCAAACGGG
rnacentral:rRNA from 1 species